rnacentral:rRNA from 1 species
UACGUAGGGUGCAAGCGUUGUCCGGAAUUAUUGGGCGUAAAGAGCUCGUAGGCGGUCUGUCGCGUCUGCUGUGAAAACUCGGGGCUUAACCCCGGGCCUGCAGUGGGUACGGGCAGACUAGAGUGCGGUAGGGGAGUCUGGAAUUCCUGGUGUAGCGGUGAAAUGCGCAGAUAUCAGGAGGAACACCGGUGGCGAAGGCGGGACUCUGGGCCGAUACUGACGCUGAGGAGCGAAAGCGUGGGGAGCGAACAGG